rnacentral:rRNA from 1 species
AUUGAACGCUGGCGGCAGGCCUAACACAUGCAAGUCGAGCGGAUGAAGGGAGCUUGCUCCUGGAUUCAGCGGCGGACGGGUGAGUAAUGCCUAGGAAUCUGCCUGGUAGUGGGGGAUAACGUCCGGAAACGGGCGCUAAUACCGCAUACGUCCUGAGGGAGAAAGUGGGGGAUCUUCGGACCUCACGCUAUCAGAUGAGCCUAGGUCGGAUUAGCUAGUUGGUGGGGUAAAGGCCUACCAAGGCGACGAUCCGUAACUGGUCUGAGAGGAUGAUCAGUCACACUGGAACUGAGACACGGUCCAGACUCCUACGGGAGGCAGCAGUGGGGAAUAUUGGACAAUGGGCGAAAGCCUGAUGCAGCCAUGCCGCGUGUGUGAAGAAGGUCUUCGGAUUGUAAAGCACUUUGAGUUGGGAGGAAGGGCAGUAAGUUAAUACCUUGCUGUUUUGACGUUACCAACAGAAUAAGCACCGGCUAACUUCGUG